AUGAAAUUAUUUCCCUACUUCAGAAAAUAUGGCAAAUUGCAUUUCAUUAGAGAUUGAUUUACAGCAAAUUGCAUGAGCGAGUGGUUCUUGCAUUUUUCAUCAAGUCGUACAUUUUCUUGGUUAUGACAUAAGGGUAAAUGUACUGGUUGGUUGCUUCAAGACUUAAUAACAGACACUAUGACAAUGGCUCAAGAGAUAUCAGAUCUACCUUCUUGGCUGGAGGCGUUAUGGGUGGCGCACGUCUCGACCCCCUUGAUGGCCGUGGUGGAUGGACAUGAACACGAGGGGGGAUCAGGGCGGAGAGCAGGGUGGUUGGCGGGGGACUCAUCCUUGGCAGUUCAUGGGAAAGUACGGUGUGAAGCAGAGGGGGUGCCAUGGCGAAGUGUGAAAGGAGGAAAAUAGUUGCCGGAAAGCAGGUAGAUCUACACCUUGAGAGAUGGCAUUUUGCGGUACAUUGUUUAGGUAUUUGGAGUAUCUAUUAUGUUUCAGAAUUUCUCGAACUAUGACCAUAUGUUUCAGUUUCACUCUUUGGACCAUGAUGGUGGUGUGCAAGGUGGACUAGAUCGUAAUGCUAAAAGAAUCAAUGGAGGUUAUUGGAUAGCUUUUAGAUUCUCCAAAAAAUAAUCUAGCAGAUGGAUGAUCCUAUUAUCACGUACGAUGGUGGUGUGCAAGGAAAUGGAGCAGCAUGAUGGUAGCUAAUGCUGUUAUUUUCACAUAGUGUAGUAUAUUGGGAGCCAAGGCCGAGUAGCAAGCCAUGUGUCACCGCAAGGAUAGGAGCGAGAUUUAAUUAAUUGUAUUUGCAAGAUUUGGUAGUCCCUUCUUGUUUUCCUGGUCAUCUCACAGGUCAUUAGUGGUCACUUGGGAUGGGUGCGAUCUGUAGCAUUUGAUCCAGGGAACAAAUGGUUUUGUCCUGGUUUUGCUGAUAGGACAAUAACGGCAAGGAAGAAGGUUGCAGAGCAUGGAUGGAUGUGAAAAGGAAGAGGAUGGAUGAGAGAGGAGAGAAGAGGGGUGAAAGAGGAUACAGAUGGAAAGAGGGAGAAUGACAGGGUGGGGGCGCUUCUUGAGGAUUAUUGUCGACUGAUUUCAUACUCUCUUAUAAAUUCAUGGUUAGCUAGGUAAACCUUUUGUACAACAGCUCUUGUUCAAAAGGAAGUUUGAUUUUUUGGCUUCUUAUUUUAGGUCAAUAUCAAGAAUAGUUUAGUUAAUUUAGUUUAAUGUUUAUGUUUGAAAUUGACUUUUACCAUUCUGGUUGAAUGGGGGUGUUGAUAGAAGAGAUUGCGAGUCGGGUACGGAGAUGCCAACAUUGUAUUAGGGGCAGAUAGAUUUAAGUUCCGUCUUAUGUCCAUGAGGAUAGGAUCACCAUUAAAUCAUCAGAAUAAGUCUGCUCCUGUUGCAACGCACGGGCAAU